UACGUAGGGUGCAAGCGUUAAUCGGAAUUACUGGGCGUAAAGCGUGCGCAGGCGGUUUUGUAAGUCUGUCGUGAAAGCCCCGGGCUCAACCUGGGAAUUGCGAUGGAGACUGCAAGGCUGAAUCUGGCAGAGGGGGGUAGAAUUCCACGUGUAGCAGUGAAAUGCGUAGAUAUGUGGAGGAACACCGAUGGCGAAGGCGCCCCCUGGGCUAAGAUUGACGCUCAUGCACGAAAGGCGUGGGGAGCAAACAGG
rnacentral:rRNA from 1 species